AUAGAGAGAUCACAUAAUUCAAUCCAUAAAAAAUUUUUGUCUAUGAAAUCAAAUGUCAAUAAAAACUCAGCAAAAGCUAUUAAAAGUAUAUUUAUUCUUAUUGAGGUGAAGCAGAACACUAAAACUAUGAUGAGUUAUGGAACUGUUGUUAAAACUAAAUCAUCCCUGUUGCUCUGGCAAGAAGACAAAUUAUAAAAAUCAACAACAUCCUCAGAAAAAGUUGUUGUGAACAUCUGAGAAGCUGAGAAGCUGUUCAGAAUCCUCAUGUACAUUUAAUGUUGGAGGUGGGUGAUUAGCAUGUUUUAAGACAAGAAAGACCAUUCUUUGUGUUCUGUUUGUAGAGUCUAUACUGAAGACAUAAAUUGUAAUAGAAUAACUGAUAUUGAAAGAAUUUGAACUCAUGGUAAGAAAAAUGUUUCAAAAUCUCUUACAUAAAAUGCUGUUUCCUGGAUACGUUGGCCUUUUUGUUAGCCAACUGGAGCUGAACAUCAGAUUCAUCUGUAGAGCUUUUCAAACUACAUUGACCUGGGCAUCAUCUCCAGAAAGGGUCUGGAUCCUCGGCCUUUGCUUAGGAGAGCAUAAUCCAUCAAUAAGGAUCAACUCCUAGGAAAUAAAAAAUAAGCUUCUAUCAUGUGUGAGUUUAUACAUUUGGAAGUUAUUGGUGAAGCAGCUAGCACUAUUAACCUAUCCACAUGGCUAGAAGAAUAUAUGUGUAGAAGGAAAAUCAGAGUACUAUUUUAGGAACUCUCGGACCUGCAGGCUUCCCAUCCUUCCUCAGGAGUCUGACACAUCAGCUAUUAAUCCAGAGAGAUGGUCCUCUAGGAUGAACAAGCUGCUAGGAAGCGUUCUUACAUGCUUUUCCCUAGAUAACAGGGCCAUAAAGCCAUCAGCAAUACAUACACCCCUACACUUCACCACAUUCAGCUCAUUUCAUACUUUUUCCUUUGGCUCAUGCUUGAGUAUAUAGUCUAAUCAGAUUGAACAGAGCUACCUUAAUAUUUGGCUUAUUCUCAGCAUACAUGUGAUCCAGUUUCAACAAUGCAGAACAACCUUUCUAGUCACCUAGCACUCACUACUUCCUUACCACAACUUUAUUAGAAACCCCUAUUAUUUCUUCUAGGAACCACAUCAUAAAAUCCCAAGAACCAAAUUUGAUGUUCUCUCUCUCUCUCACUCACUCCUUUCUGAUAGCAGUCUGCUUAGUUUUUUAGCAGGUAAAAAAUAAAGAAGUACCACAUAAAAAGCAGCCAUAGCAAAGGAUAGAGUAUUCCUCGGACUGUAGGGCUUAGCUGACAGAGCCAAAGGCAUCCACUGUCUCUGAGCUUCCUGAACCUCCCACCACAGCAUUCUAAUUCUGCAUGCUGUCAAACCCAAAGGGCUUAAUACUGAGGGAUGAUUUAUUGGGAUGAAAGGAGAAGCCAUCACUUUCAACCAGUGAUAUAGAGUGUCAAAUAUAACGAACAAUUAAUAAUAGGUAAGACUGAUACCCUUGAGUCAUUGACUUCAUUGUCUGAUGGCAAAAUCAUGGAGAAGAAACAUAAGAUAUUGAAAAAAAGGUAAUUUAUUCUUUAAAAUUUAGGUGACUUGUAAGGAGAGCAUGUUUACUCCCCUGGGAAGGGAAGGGGGAAAUUUCAGGUGAGCACCAGUGUGUUUACUUGCCUUGCCAAAUUUCAAGAUAAAAUUCUUUUUUUGUUAUUUCCAGAAACAUUCUGAGCUGACAGAAUCAGGGAAUAUGCAGCUGUUUGCCUUUUGUAAACAAAGGAGGUUGUCAGAAAAACUUUUUUUUACUAGUUGUGAUAAUCAGAGGAUUUUUCUUUCAAUAAAAGGCUGCAUUUAUCUGGAGUGAGGGAGUAAAUUAGGUUUCCUGAUUUCAAGACAUCGUGGAUCCCAGAACAGGAUGUAAAGCCUCCGGUGCUGAAACUGCAGAGAGGGAAUAUGCCAGCCCUAAUCAGCUUCUCUUUAUUAAUUUAUGUUUCCUAGGAUAUACCAACCUAGGGGAAAGGGAGAGGAAGGAAGAGCAAUAGGCAAAUCACAAUUUCCCUCCCUCCCUCCCUCCAGACCUAACCUGUAAACAUUCAUUCCUCCUCAAAUUAUCAACAAACAUUUCUGAACAUCCCAGUGGCGUCAAUCGGGCAUUUCAUGGCAGAGGAUGGGCAUCGUCUCAGCUGUUCCUGGCAUUCUCUAUUUCCUCUUGCUGCCUGUUCCUCAGGCCUGGUAUUGCAGGCACCUCUGGUGCUCUGCUCACUCCUGUCAGUGUCCUUAACACCCAUGCAGGUGCUGUCCAUCCCUGUGCUGACAGUGUGAAUCUGCUAACUGUGCUGUGUCACAGGGGUGCCAUCUGCCAUCCCUGCAGAGACACAGAUGCUGUCUGCUGUCACUGUAAAAGCUAUUGGUGUCAAUGCAGCUGAUAUUUGAUUUAUAGUUCCUUUAGUUUUCACUCAAGUUUAAUUGGAUGUCUCUUACCCCCCAGAGCCCAGUCCAAUAGAGGCUGCAUCAGAAUACAACAUGAAUGAUAACAUUUUGAAUUCUCAAAAGUCCCUUCUCUUUUAAGACACUGGUCCACACACUCCUUUCACCAAAGUUAAAACAUGUCUUGAUGUUUUCUUUCCUUGGAUUGAGCACUUCCAAAGAGGUUUCUCCUCCCUGUAGUGGCUAAGGUAGGCCUCUCUUUAUCCUAUGGUGAAUGAGGUAGGCCUGUCUCCAGUCUUCUAGACAUGCCCUACCUUGUCUGAAUCCAAAGCACUGCUAGUUUACUAAAAUUCACUCAUUUAUUCAUUCAACAAAUAGUGUUAUUGAACACCUAUUUACCAGGGAUUCUGCUAGAUGCUAGGGAUGCAAUGGUUUUUAUAAACAUUAAUAUUAUUCAUGCCUUCAUGACGCUUUCAUUAUACUAGGGAAAAUAAUAAUAAAAUAAAUGAGACUAAGUUUAUAUAACUGGAAGAGAGCUGACUCUAUCAAAACAUGAGGAAAUGUUUGAAUCUAUGCUUUGAGGAAAUGAAAAUCAAUUUGCUCAAGUUCAUUCUGGAAGUAGGUCAACAUAAUAAAAGGUUCCAAUGAUUAUGACCUUCUCAACAAGAGUUUUGGAGAAAUGUUCAAAACUACCUGGAUAAUCUCCAGCAUCAGUCCUAGGGAACUGAAUUAUAGAUCUCCCCUAGGUAAAGUUUCACAAUUACUUCCUUCUCUGUCUGUGAUCAGGAGCACUCAGUAUAAUUGGCCACAGUCAGCAGUCAUGAAUUUCAGAAUGCAAAUCACCCAUGAGGGUUCUGAAGUAUCCUGGAAAUAAGAUAACAGCAUUGUUCCAAUUCAUUCAGAACCAUCUUUGAGGUUAGUCUCACAGCUCCCCUUCGGAAUUAAUUUGACCACUGGCUCUCCUAAGUUUCCUGAAUAGAAAAGGCCCCAAGACAAGGGUAUCUAAAUCUGCCUAUAAAGCCACUGCAAUUUCCUCUUUCACUGCCACCAUCUACAUAGUCAUCACUACUUUUGUGCUGAGCUCUGGGGCAGGUGGCCUUUGGGAGAUGGAAGGUGGAGAGCAAAGGCCCAGGGAGCACUUCCUAACACAGAGCCAAUGGUGGAGAGAUAGGAGAGAAUCCUCCUCACUCCCCAGCCAAUGAGGUGCCAGGAAUCUGAAAAAUAAUAAAUAUUUUUAGAAGGAAUAAAAAAUAGUCCCAGGCCACGUUAGGACAGAGCAGUUCAUUAGCUGCCACUCAGGUGCAGACAAGCACAAAACCAUUUGCAAUAUCUCAAGCACAGAUGCCACAGUGCAGGGCCCAGGGCUAGUGAAAGACCCAUGGGCACAAAGGUAGCGAUGAUGACCACGUGGUUGGCAAAGGUGGUAGGUAUAAAAAUGGAAUUGCAGUAGAAGCAGCAUUUUGUUGUCAUAAAACUUCCCCCCUUAUCCUUCCAAGAUCACUCAAACCUUUUGGAUAACAGAUCAUCCAAGUCCCUGGCCUCCAUUCCUGAAUCUCAACUGUCUUCUUAACUGACGGCUACUAGCCUCAUGCCCUGGGUGUUCCUCCCUGCAGUCUGCUCUCCCCAAACCCUGAUCUCAAUGUCCAAAUAUUGCCACAGCAAUUGCCAUUGGACAAGUCUGGAUUAUGCGUCAGGGUAUCUUCUUAUUAUCCCCAGACAUUAUCCCUCAAUUGGAGCAGAUUCCUUCUGUCAAAACACUUUAAUAUCUCAAUAUCUACAGCUGAUUUCCUACAGAAGCCUCUAGCACACUGGUGUGGAGCCCAGAAAGACAAUCCACAUUAUUGCUCCUCCACAAUUAUCUAUUUUGCUUCAUUAUGUAAAAGGUUGAACUUACUAUUAGAAUUUCAAAGCUGCAAUCGACCUCUGCCUUCUAGACUUUAUGAUCUCUCACACUCACCUGUGGAAUUUAAACCUUAACACAUGCUAUGUGCUAUGUGCUACUGGGAGAAUUAGGUCAAAGGGUACUAAUUUUCAAUAGGGUAGAAUGAAGAAGUUGUGGAAAUCUAAUGUAUAGCAUGGUGACUAUAGCUAUUAGGUUGGUGCAAAAACAAUGAAAAGUAAUGGCUAAAACUGCAAUUGCUUUUGCACCAACCUAAGGCUAAUACUGUGUUGUAUACUUCAAAUUUGCUGAGAGUAGAUCUUAAAUGUACUUACCACAAAAAAAAGUAAUUUUGUGAGAUGAUGGAUAGGUUAAUUAGCUUGAUUGGGGUAAUGAUUUCACAAUAUACACUUAUAUCAAAACACCAUAUCAUAUAUGGUAAAUAUAUACAAGUUUUAUUUUUCAAUUAUAACUGAAUAGUGAAGAGGGAACAAAAGAGAAAGAAAAAGAGAAUAAACUUUUCUAAGAGGUAAAUGAAUGAAUGAAUAAUGCAUAGAUAAAUAAACAAAAUGUUCACAUUAUGUCAUGGUUCACUAGUUCAAAGUUAUGGAUUUAGAAACUCAAUAAAAUAAACAUAUUUAAUGUUUGCAUUGAUUUGGAGCCAUUAGUCAUGAGAAGGAGAUAUUCUACUAAUAAGGAAAGAACUGGUCAAAUAUCCUUAGGCCUGAGGGAGAGUC
rnacentral:lncRNA from 10 species